GACGAACGCUGGCGGCGUGCUUAACACAUGCAAGUCGAACGGAAAGGCCCUGCUUGUGUGGGGUGCUCGAGUGGCGAACGGGUGCGUAACACGUGAGUAACCUGCCCUUCACUUUGGGAUAACUUCAGGAAACUGGGGCUACUAUCAUAUAGCAGCUCCUGCUCCAGUGUGGGGGUUGGAAAGUCUCGGCGGUUGUGGAUGGACGCGCGGCUUAUCGGAUUGUUGGUUGGGUAGUGGCUUACCAAGGCUUUGACUGAUAGCCGGCCUGAGAGGGUGACCGGCCACAUUGGGCCUGAGAUACGGACCAGACGCGUACGGGAGGCAGCAGGGGGGAAUAUUGCACAACGGGAGGAAGUCGGAUGCAGCAACGCCGCGUGCGGGAUGACGGCCUUCGGGGUGUAAAACGCUUUCGCCUGUGACGAAGCGUGAGUGACGGUAAUGAGUAAAGAAGCACCGGCUAACUACGUG
rnacentral:rRNA from 1 species